rnacentral:rRNA from 1 species
UAUCAAUAAGCGGAGGAAAAGAAACUAACAAGGAUUCCCCUAGUAACUGCGAGUGAAGCGGGAAAAGCUCAAAUUUAAAAUCUGGUGGCCUUUGUCCAUCCGAGUUGUAAUUUAGAGAAGUGUCUUCCGCGCUGGACCGUGCACAAGUCUCCUGGAACGGAGCGUCAUAGAGGGUGAGAAUCCCGUCUUUGGCACGGACAUGCCAGGGCUUUUGUGAUGCACUCUCAAAGAGUCGAGUUGUUUGGGAAUGCAGCUCAAAAUGGGUGGUGAACUCCAUCUAAAGCUAAAUAUUGGCGAGAGACCGAUAGCGAACAAGUACCGUGAGGGAAAGAUGAAAAGCACUUUGGAAAGAGAGUGAAACAGUACGUGAAAUUGUUGAAAGGGAAACGCUUGAAGUCAGUCGCGUCGACCGAGACUCAGCCUUGCCUUGGCUUGGUGUACUUCUCGGCUGACGGGUCAGCAUCAAUUUUGCCCCUUGGAUAAUGGCGAGGGAAAUGUGACACCUUUACGGUGUGUUAUAGUCUCUUGUCGCAUGCAAGGGUUGGGAUUGAGGAACUCAGCACGCGCCUUUGGGUGUCGGGGUUUUUGCCCACGAUACGUGCUUAGGAUGUUGGCGUAAUGGCUUUAAACGACC